rnacentral:tRNA from 1 species
CAGAACGUAGCGAAGUUUGGCAUCGCGCUUGGCUUGGGGCCAAGAGCCGCGUUGCCGAGGAGACAGAGCGGUUCGAGUCCGCCCGUUCUGAC